rnacentral:rRNA from 1 species
GACGAACGCUGGCGGCGUGCUUAACACAUGCAAGUCGAACGGAAAGGCCCCUUUGGGGGUACUCGAGUGGCGAACGGGUGAGUAACACGUGAGUAACCUGCCCUUGACUUCGGGAUAACUUCAGGAAACUGGGGCUAAUACCGGAUAGGAAUCCUUGCUGCAUGGUGGGGGUUGGAAAGCUUCGGCGGUUUUGGAUGGACUCGCGGCUUAUCAGCUUGUUGGUGGGGUAGUGGCUUACCAAGGCUUUGACGGGUAGCCGGCCUGAGAGGGCGACCGGCCACAUUGGGACUGAGAUACGGCCCAGACUCCUACGGGAGGCAGAAGUGGGGAAUAUUGCACAAUGGGCGGAAGCCUGAUGCAGCAACGCCGCGUGCGGGAUGACGGCCUUCGGGUUGUAAACCGCUUUCAGCAGGGGCGAAGCUUUUGUGACGGUACCUGCAGAAGAAGCACCGGCUAACUACGUG